rnacentral:tRNA from 1 species
GCGUCUGUGGUGAAAUUGGUAGACACGCCACUUUGAGGGGGUGGUGUCGGUUUUCGACGUGCAAGUUCAAAUCUUGUCAGACGCACAA